AAAAUGACACACUUCCUGCUGCCAGUUGGUGGCGCUAUAACUUUGACUCCUAAUAGUCACAUCUAUGCGAUCGGCAUCAUACAUCAAACAAUCCGAUGAAGUUUGAUCUAAAUCAGAAAAUGUAUGUGGAUGUUAUUAGACAUUUCCUGUUUCUCAUUUUUUGCCCUAAUUUCAACGCCUCGCCACGGACAAACCGUUCGAGAUAUCAAAAAUCCCCUGGCAAUUUUUCAUCCCCAAUGUCUUGAGAUCAUGUUCACCGAGUUUCGUGGAGAACGGGUGGAAAACCUCAGAGGAGUAUUUCAAAUUCCAGAGCAUGCUUUUUUGAAACAGCCCUGAAUAGCUCACUUCCUGUUGGGCGGAGCCUUUUUCAUAGAGCGCGAAAGUUGUUCGGCUCAAUGAGAUCUAUAAGUGUACAGAGUUUCAUAUAAAUACAUGCAAGUAUGUGUGCGCUAUGGUUCAAGAUUUCUGACUGUGUUCCAGGGGGCGCCGUAGAGCCCCUGUGCCACGCCCGGGUCCCAGCCUCUGCGGCGUCCUGAUGGCCGCAGGUUCCAAUGUGUGUGCCAAUUUUCAAGAGUUUUUGAGUAUGUUAAGGCCUCCAAAAACCCCCGGAAGGUUUAAAAAAAAAAUAAAAAAAAUAAUAAUAAAUAUAGCUGCAAGCAGCGAUGGCGGGCUCAAGCCAUCAGCGCAAACGCCACCCCGGUGGCAUCAGGUAAACUGUGCCCAGCGGGCACAUGCAUUUACAGUAAUCCUCUGGCACUCAGGUUUUAAGGGAUACGGCAAUUAACGGGUUAAUCCGAAGCAUCAAGACUUUGAAAUCACAUACACAGAACAAUAUUCAUUAAGAAAGUGAAAUUAAAUGAUUAAUAUACUAUUUAUUCGAACCCUUGCUAUUUUCUAUUCUAAUAAGAGUCUUGGCUGUGAAACACCUGUAAUAGAGUUGGCUAGCUGGAUGCAAAUAAAGUCAUGCCUUUUAUUUUGUUCCCCUGUUUGCUAUUUCACAUUCCUGUCACUGAAGCGUUGUGGCCUAAAGACACAGAAGGUAACUGAAACAAUGUGGUUUAAGUCCAGGUGAUCAUUAGGGGUCCAAGCACAUUGGUUUGUGUAGAUGAUGCAGUUACACAAUGGACGUGUCUCUUUUUCAAGUAAAUAUGAGUCCUAUGUGAGUACUAUUAUAUGCACAACAUGAAAAAUAGAUAACUAAAUAUAGUGUCCCUUCUUCACUUUUUUUCAGUAAUGUGUGAUAACUUGAGAAAUAUGUUGUCAAUACAAUUAAAAAUAACAUAAAAAAACGUAAUGGUAUUUAGGAGAUGAUAGCUUUUUUUGCAUAAUUACUAUAUUGGGCUUUAUUAAAGUUUAUGAAAAAAAGAAUGAAUGUUUAUGCAUUUUUUUGAUUUAUGUACAUAAAUGAAACAUUUUCAAGUCUUUGAACAGAUCUUGAAGUAUUUGCUGUCCUGUGGCGCCAUCGAGUGGACAACAUUAGCAUUGUGGCCCUUCAUUUUUUUGAACAACAUUAUGAAAGGGGCCAAUAUUUUUUUGAUUGAUUAUAAAUAUUUAAUGAUUAGUUUACUGAUAAUAUACCCACAUUAAAAAUCUAAUUUACUGAUUCUGUAUCUUAUUUCAUGCUUAAUCAUGAGUUUAAUUUUUCAACUUUACAUUUUUUUAAGCAGUGUUGAAUGAUUACUAUGUGAUUUGCUAAAAAUUUUUUUGUUUUUGUUUUGUUUUAUUUAUUU
ensembl:lncRNA